rnacentral:rRNA from 1 species
UACGUAGGGUGCAGGCGUUAAUCGGAAUUACUGGGCGUAAAGCGUGCGCAGGCGGUUUGUAAGCCAGAUGUGAAAUCCCCGGGCUCAACCUGGGAAUGGCAUUUGGGACUGCAAGGCUGGAGUGUGGCAGAGGAGACUGGAAUUCCUGGUGUAGCAGUGAAAUGCGUAGAUAUCAGGAGGAAUACCGAUGGCGAAGGCAGGUCUCUGGGCUGACACUGACGCUCAUGCACGAAAGCGUGGGGAGCAAACAGG